GAAGAAGAUACGAAGAAAAAGAUGACUAUGACUAUGAUGAUGAUGAAGAAAAAGAAGAAGAAGAAGAAGAUGAAGUUUCUAGCUCGUGCGCAUACUCGUGCGCAUACUCGUGCGCACAUUUGCGCGCACGCCCGCGCUUACGUCAGGCGCGCAAGGCCUUCGCUAAUCUUCGAUAAAGUAAACAUGACUUUUAUCGUCCCGCCGGUUGUCCGUGUCGCGUAGGUUAACGUUAUGGACAAUCUCCCUCGACGGGUGAGAGGAGAAAUUGCUUGGACAAGUAAAAUAGUGUGUAAGUAAGUAAUCGCAUGACGGACUACAAGGAAUGAAACCAUUGACGCGUUUCCGGCCACACCACGAGGACAAACGUGACAAAGUACAAAAGAAGACGUAGAAUAGAAGCAGGAACAUUUAAAUCAAAGAAUACUUAUUGAAAAGUACCAUGAACAUAAGCCGCAAGACGUUUCUUAAUCUUGCGAUUAGCUGCGGAAACGCGUGCUCUGGAUUCCACGAUAUUUUCGCUUGAAAGGAAGGAAAGAAAGAAAGGAAGAAAGGAAAGAAGGAAAAUGACAAAGAAAAAAAAAGGAACAAUAACAACAACAACAACAAAAAAAAAAGGAGGUCAUGAAAUCGUCGUUUCGUUUCCGACAGAAUGUGAUUAAACCGGAUGAGACGGUACGAUGACCAGAUAGGACAAAAUCUACCGAGGGAAACAAAAGUUUAUUAACUAAUGAUACUCUGAAUAUUAUCUUUUUAUUUUCUUUAUUUCAAAUACCUUUCUAUAAAAAAAAUUCUAU